ACAACUUUCGACAACGGAUCUCUUGGCUCUCGCAUCGAUGAAGAACGCAGCGAAAUGCGAUACGUAAUGUGAAUUGCAGAAUUCAGUGAAUCAUCGAAUCUUUGAACGCACCUUGCGCCCCUUGGCAUUCCGAGGGGCACACCCGUUUGAGCGUCGUGA
rnacentral:rRNA from 1 species